AUGGACCCGCAGGAGGAUGGCUUCUUCUACUCACACCAUGGCGCGUGCCAUGCCGAUUCCAGUCAAGGGACGGAAUGUAAAGCCCAGAGUUCGGUUACCGCUCGCAAGGUUCACAAGGCUGACCGUGAGAGAAUGCGACGAGACAAAUUGAAUGAGCAGUUUAUGGAAUUGGGAACCACACUUGACCCAGAUCGGCCCAGGCAUGAUAAGGCUACUAUUCUUGGUGAUACAGUUCAGAUGCUCAAGGAUUUGACUUCUCAAGUAAACAAGCUUAAAGCUGAAUACUCUUCUCUCUUUGAAGAAGAAUGUGAGUUGACUAAAGAAAAAAAUGAGCUUUGGAGUGAAAAAGCUUCGCUGAAGUCUGAUGUUGAUAAUUUGAACAACCACUAUCAGCAACGUAUUCAAAUGUUAUACCCGUGGACUACAAUGGAGCCUUCUGUACUCAUUGGGGCACCUCCAUCAUAUCCCUUCUCGCUACAAGUUCCUAUACCCGCUGGUGCUGUAACUAUGCAUCCACAGCUUCAGCCAUGCCCUUUCUUCCAAAAUCAAACUUUAGGAGCCAUCUCGAAUCCAUGUACUCACAUGGCAUACAGUCAAUCCUGUCAUGCUCCUAGUGAUCAACCAUCUAGCCAGUUCAGUACUCCAGUUCCGCUUUCAAGUAGUAAUCGAUCUCACUCUCCUGCACAAGACUGUAGAAGCAAGUCACCUUCACUUCAGCAAGCAAGCUGUGGAGGGAGAAAUGAUGAUUUUGGUGAUGUUGCAACUGACUUGGAACUAAAAACUCCUGGUUCCUCAGCUCCUUCACAUUCAGAGAUCACUAACAAGGUAAGAGCCAACCAUUACUCAGGUUCACCAUACACAAUUAGUGAAAUCUUUUGUGACAGUUCAAAUAAUUGA
rnacentral:rRNA from 1 species